rnacentral:tRNA from 1 species
GGCCCCAUCGUCUAGUGGCCUAGGACGCUGCCCUCUCACGGCGGAAACUGGAGUUCGAAUCUCCAUGGGGUCA